CCGCCUGGGGAGUACGGUCGCAAGAUUAAAACUCAAAGGAAUUGACGGGGNCCCGCACAAGCGGUGGAGCAUGUGGUUCAAUUCGAAGCAACGCGAAGAACCUUACCAGCCCUUGACAUCCCGGUCGCGGAGAGCAGAGACGCGCUCCUUCAGUUCGGCUGGACCGGAGACAGGUGCUGCAUGGCUGUCGUCAGCUCGUGUCGUGAGAUGUUGGGUUAAGUCCCGCAACGAGCGCAACCCUCGCCCUUAGUUGCCACCAUUUAGUUGGGCACUCUAAGGGGACUGCCGGUGAUAAGCCGCGAGGAAGGUGGGGAUGACGUCAAGUCCUCAUGGCCCUUACGGGCUGGGCUACACACGUGCUACAAUGGCGGUGACAAUGGGAUGCGACGGAGCAAUCCCGAGCAAAUCUCAAAAAGCCGUCUCAGUUCGGAUUGUGCUCUGCAACUCGAGCACAUGAAGUUGGAAUCGCUAGUAAUCGCAGAUCAGCACGCUGCGGUGAAUACGUUCCCGGGCCUUGUACACACCGCCCGUCACACCAUGGGAGUUGGCUUUACCUGAAGACGGUGCGCUAACCGCAAGGAGGCAGCCGGCCACGGUAGGGUCAGCGACUGGGGUGAAGUCGUAACAAGGUAGCCGUAGGGGAACCUGCGGCUGGAUCACCUCCUU
rnacentral:rRNA from 1 species